AGAAUUUCAAAUACUGUAGUGUAUUUUGAAUGUGUAAAUAUUAAAUAGUUUAAUUCUGUUUAAAUAUGAAACAAACACUAUUAAUUGUAGUUGUUACAUAUAAAUAUGCCUAUUGACAGAACUAAAAUCACAACAAAGGAAAAUAGAAUCAGAAGGGAAAACUCAAAAUCCAGAUCAAAAGAUGAGAGAACUAGCAAAAGAUCGCCAACUGUAGACAAAUCUAAUAAAAGAAUGACUGUCAACAAUGAAGAAAGCAGUAAAAUCAAAGCAGAUAAGUACAGAAGUAGUAGUGUGGACAGACAACCAAACAAAACUAAAACUAGAGAUGAUUCAAGAAUUAGAAAAUCAGUUUCUAAAGAGAGAGUGGAAAAAUCUGUCACAGGAUCUUCCAGACAUUCUCAACAAUUUGGUGAAUCAUCUAAUUUGGAGAGACAAAGAAAAUCAUCACAAAGACAAUCAACUGAAAGAAUAUAUAAAAAUAUAAGUAAUAAAGAUAAUGAUAAAGCUAGAUCACAAAGACAUUCUAAUCCAGAUCCAGAGAAAUAUAAAAGUUCAUUUGAUUCAAAAUAUGUUAGAAGUGAUCACAUUUCAAGAAACCGCACUCAUAAUUUGAAAGAAGAGCACAAGAAAAAAAGUGAAGAACAUAAAAAAAGUAAUACAACAAAAGAAAAAUCUUUAAAAAUUGAAGCAAAGACACUAGAAGGGAGGAAAAAAAGUGAAAUUAUACAUCAAGAUAAGAAACAUCAUGCAACUCCUUCUAUAUCAAUGUUGUCUCAGUUACCUGAAACAUUUGUAAAAGAAAAUAAAUCUUCAAAUAAAUUAGAAAUUUCUACAAAAGAAAAUACUGGUGACAGUGAUUAUAAUUAUGAAGAUGAUUUUGAAGAAUAUGAAUCAGAUUUUGAAGAUGAUGAUGAUGAUGAUGAUGAUAAAGCAGAAAGUGAAAAAGUAAAUUCAGAAAUU
rnacentral:lncRNA from 1 species